AACCAUAGAAACCUGCGGAGUACCUGCGGAGGGAUCAUUAUAGUAUAUGGAAUCUCCAUUCUAUAAACCCACUCUGCGUAUCUUGUAACUGUUGCUUCCAUGGGACUUGGUCCCGCCACACCGGCUUCACGGCUGGUGAGCGCCCAUGGAAGGAGAAACAAAACUCUUCUUUGAAAUGUAGUCAGUCUGAACAAGUUUUUAUAAACGUUAAAACUUUUAACAAUGGAUCUCAGAUCGGAA
rnacentral:misc_RNA from 1 species